UCGUCGUCUGAAGAAUCUCAAAGCACACCAUGAUGUAUGUGAUAGACGCUAUAACGAAGCGCAAACAAAGAGGUUAAAACUCAAUAGAGACAGCAAUCUGGUUCUACACAACAACCAGAACACGAUGAGAGCUGAUGAGUGCUCAAGCAACAGUGAUAGCACCAUUGACCUCACACCACCUGAUGUAGACGACAACCAUGAGGACAUGGACACUGACCAGGCAAAUACUAAGGAAAAAAGAGCUGAAGCAGCAUAAAUCAUCCAACCACAGAAACAAAGACGGAAGACAUGUUCGGUGACCAAAAAAGGCAAUGCAGAGGCCUCCUUGCAUG
rnacentral:lncRNA from 1 species